GGCUGGAAGAGCACCGCAC
rnacentral:snRNA from 1 species